rnacentral:SRP_RNA from 1 species
CGCGAGGAUCAUACGACCAGCUCCCUCUGAAUCCCCCAGGGCAGAAAUGCAGCAAGGGCAGGAGGUUGUAGCGGUGCGAUAUGAUUCCUCGCUUUU